rnacentral:sRNA from 1 species
CUUGAUGUUAAUAAAUCUUGAAACCUUAAUUACUCUUACUCUAUUUCGUUUUGGCAUUUGAUUAUUUAAGUAAAGUUGUUUAGGUUGUUUAGAUCUACAUUUUGGUAUGAUUUCAGUAAUUUCUGGGUUUGUGUUCUUGAGAAUGUUGCUUAAGUAGUGAUUAGGGUUCUUGAGUGGAUUAGAUUAGGGUAAUCUCUAGGUUAGUUAGGUGGUUAGUGUUUAGGUUUAUACCCUUCUGGAUUCGCUUUGCCCCUAUGCGGUUUUUGCUGGCUAAUGUGGAGAUUCGAUCAUAGACGUCCAGCGUCCAAAAGACGUUCAAAUGGAUGUCUGACCUACGAAUUCCAGAGAUUUGCAGACUCGACCAAGGGAUUGGCUUGUUUGCCUAUUGGCUUUGGUAGAUUGUUUCUUAAACCCUGCUCUGCUAUAUUUCAUCAACGAGAGUUGAGAUUAGGAAGUGGUAGAGUUAUGGGGGUCUCUGUCACGAGAGUGGAUUGCCUCGGUUUUUGAAUCUAUCGUCAUGGGUAUCUAUCUUUUGCCUAUUAGCCAUUUGAUGAACCCUAGAGUUGCCCUUAUCAAUGAAUCCAUCCUUAGAACUUCUAUUAGAUUUAUUUGUAUCCCCUGUUGAUUGUACUUUUAUUUACCUGUUAUUUGCAUCCCCUAUUUGUAUCCCCUAUUGAUUGCAUUAAGGUUACUUAAUUUUGUCGCUUGUUGGUUCUACUCGACCCAAUGAUCGAGUAGGGCUCUUAAGUUCUUAUUUUUACUU